rnacentral:rRNA from 1 species
UACGAAGGGGGGCUAGCGUUGCUCGGAAUUACUGGGCGUAAAGCGCGCGUAGGCGGUUUUUUAAGUCAGAGGUGAAAGCCCAGUGCUCAACACUGGAACUGCCUUUGAAACUGGAAAACUUGAAUCUUGGAGAGGUCAGUGGAAUUCCGAGUGUAGAGGUGAAAUUCGUAGAUAUUCGGAAGAACACCAGUGGCGAAGGCGACUGACUGGACAAGUAUUGACGCUGAGGUGCGAAAGCGUGGGGAGCAAACAGG